GAUCUUGGUUCAGGAUGAACGCUAGCGGCAGGCUUAACACAUGCAAGUCGAGGGCAGCGGGAUGUAGCAAUACAUUGCCGGCGACCGGCGGAUGGGUGCGUAACGCGUAUGCAACCUACCUUAUACAGGGGAAUAACCUUUCGAAAGGGAGACUAACACCCCAUGGUAUUGAUUUAAGGCAUCUUAGAUUAAUUAAAUAUUUAUAGGUAUAAGAUGGGCAUGCGUAUGAUUAGCUAGUUGGUAAGGUAACGGCUUACCAAGGCGACGAUCAUUAGGGGUUCUGAGAGGUUUAUCCCCCACACUGGUACUGAGACACGGACCAGACUCCUACGGGAGGCAGCAGUGAGGAAUAUUGGUCAAUGGACGCAAGUCUGAAAACCCAGCCACGUCGCGUGAAGGAAGACGGCCCUACGGGUUGUAAACUUCUUUUGUAAGGGAAUAAAGUGUAGUACGUGUACUAUUUUGCAUGUACCUUACGAAUAAGGAUCGGCUAACUCCGUGCCAGCCGCCGC
rnacentral:rRNA from 1 species